rnacentral:rRNA from 1 species
GACGUAGGGCGCGAGCGUUGUCCGGAUUUAUUGGGCGUAAAGAGCUCGUAGGCGGCUUGUCACGUCGACUGUGAAAUCCCGCGGCUCAACCGCGGGCUUGCAGCCGAUACGGGCAGGCUAGAGUGUGGUAGGGGGAGACUGGAAUUCCUGGUGUAGCGGUUGAAAUGCGCAGAUAUCAGGAGGAACACCGGUGGCGAAGGCGGGUCUC